rnacentral:rRNA from 1 species
CCUACGGGAGGCUGCAGUGAGGAAUAUUGGUCAAUGGGCGGAAGCCUGAACCAGCCAAGUAGCGUGCAGGAUGACGGCCCUACGGGUUGUAAACUGCUUUUAUACGGGAAUAACGCGCCUUACGUGUAGGGCUUUGCAUGUACCGUAUGAAUAAGGACCGGCUAAUUCCGUGCCAGCAGUCGCGGUAAUAGGGAAGGUCCGGGUGUUAUCCGGAUUUAUUGGGUUUAAAGGGAGCGUAGGCCGCAUGUCAAGCGUGCUGUGAAAUGUCCGGGCUCAACCCGGGCCUUGCAGCGCGAACUGGCUGGCGUGAGUCCGCGGAAAGCAGGCGGAAGUCGUCGUGUAGCGGGGAAAUGCUUAGAUAUGACGAAGAACCCCGAUUGCGAAGGCAGCUUGCUGCAGCGGAACUGACGCUGAUGCUCGAAGGUGCGGGUAUCAAACAGGAUUAGAUACCCGAGUAGUC